AAUCUUAAUAAGUUUUUUUGUUAAUAAGGACUUAGCAAGAACUUCAGAGAUGCACGGCACCUUCUUAGCACCAUACCACAAAGCUUGCUAAAAAUAAUAUUAAUACCAAAGAAAAUACAAAAGAAAAAAAGAGAGAAAGGACUAAAGAAAUCUAUAAUUCUCCCUUCCAUUAACAUCAAGAGGGAGAGAAUUAGUAGAAAAAGCAAGGCACGAGGCCACUAACAAAUCAAGCUAGCUAACACUGCCUUCCUAGCAAGACAAUUUGUAGGUAAGUUCCCUUCUCUAAAACACGAGACACUACAAAAUCCAUAAAAGAAAUCUAGUUUAAACAUCUAGACCAUUCUGCAAGUAAGAACCAAGGAACAUAUAGGCUCUUAGCUUUAAAUAAAUUCACCACGUAAGUAGAAUCACUCUCAAGCCAAAUCUUAUUCCAACCAAAGUUGUAAGCUUUAUCAAUACCAUAUAUAGCAGCCUUUAUUUCAGCCACGAAAGCAUAAGUUGUUGAGAGAGGGACAAUAAAGCAUCCCUUAACAACACCUCGACAAUUUCUGAAUAAACCUCCCACACCCGUCGUGCCCGG
rnacentral:lncRNA from 1 species